CCCUGAGGGAGCGGAGCCGCGGCGGCGCCGGCCUCGGUCCGCGAUCGUUCCUGCGGCGGCUGCGGGGCGGGCCCGGCCGGGAACGCUCCUGGGGCCGAGGCUCGGGGAGAGUUCGGACGCGCCGCCUUCCUCCCCUCCUCGUUCUCCCGCGGUAGUCGCGAUUCGGGUGCAGACAGGCCCUGUGGGCCCGCCGAGGCCCAGCCCGGCCCACUCCCGCCAUGUCCCUCAUCCCGGGCCUUUCCCGACCGCUGCCCUGAUGGGAGUUUGUUUCCCACAGCCCCGCGGGUCCCCGUAGCCCCGCUCCCUGCCUGGCGCUGGGGUUUCUAGCGGGUGCCCCGAUCGGGCCCUGGGCACCUCCACAAGUCGCUGGGAAUGGCUCCUGUCAGUGCUGCUCAAGGCCGCUACAGCAGCCUCCACUUGCCCGCCUCUGCGUUCUGCUGGGACCUUCGAGCUCAGCCCCAGAGCCAGAGCACCUCACUGACGGCUAACACAGCCACACACGCAAGAAGUGAAUCUGAGCUUUAGACAGAGUUUUACACGAACGUUUGGCUGGUGGUGACACAUUAGUGAGCAAAUACUAGCCAGAAGCUACAGCAAUGGAUUGGAGGUGCAAGGCUGAACUAGAAUGAGAAAUGCAAAUCUGUGUUCAGGCAAAGUUAAUGCUCAGCUGCAGCAGCACCAAGUUGGAAUUAAUAUAGACUUUUCAUUCUAUUGUGUAGGACUUGUGACAUUUCCCCCCAGGGCUUUUGGCAUUCUUGCAGAAGAUCCUUGUGUGGCUGAUUUCUCUGUCCCAAGGAAGCUCUGAGGUUUUGGGGGGAUAUACAGUAGACAAGCAUGGCUGGCACUGCCACACUCAGUGGGCUGUGUGACAGCUGAUUCCAGGACAGCCCUGGACCAGGCACUUGGAAGAGACUUGGAAAUAUUCAAUGUUUUCAAACCUGCCCGUUGCUUAUUGACACGUGCCUGCAGCAGGCAGUGGGUAUGUGAGAGUGUAAAUGAGUAACUUGGAGAAACCACAGUCAUGGGCAGGAUUGCCCUUCCUAAAUCACUGAUUUGUUCAAGUAUUUUUCUGUGAAAAGUUCCUGAUUUGCCUCUGUAUUUUUGUUUAGAGCAAUCAGGAAUUAAUACCCACUUAAAAACUCCAAACUGUGUCACACAUGGAGCGGAAAAAUCCAUCGGUGUUGAGACUUUGCCCUUUUGAUGUCCCUAACCUGAGGCUCUCAGUAGUUUGUCCGUUAAGAAUUCCCAACCGACAGCCACCCUCGGCUGUUAGCAUUGGGCAAUCCCAGCGUUUGCAGUGCCUGGUGGUCAAACUGCAGGGCUUUGUCAAGGUCACAGCCACAGCCUGUGUCAGACACACACGGGGACCACAACUGCUGAAACCUCUUGCGCUUUCAUUGCCCGUGUCCUCACAGCCCGAGGAGGAGCAGGAGGAGGAGGAGGGCUGGACAAGCAGCUCUUCAGCAUUUGCACCGUGUCUUGCUGCGCAGCCAGCUCUCCUGGGCAGACCUUGCUCUCCCAGUACCUAACUGGGGGUGGAAGCAGCAGAACAGAUAUUUCCAGUUUGUCUGAAGGACAGUAUGCUAUGAGAAAAAAAAACCCUAAAAUACUAUUUAAUAGUUCAGGGGGAUUUUCUUGAGCAUAUAGUUCCUCCUGGCUAUUUAUAGCGCUGUUAUUUAAAUAUCCCAAAAGAUCCUGUCAUCAGAGGUUUUUCAUGAUUCCUUUGAAGAACAAACCCAUACUUAUUUGAACAAGUCACAUCAUGAGAGUUGUUUUUGUACCCUUUCCACCCACACAAGCCUAGGAGUGAUUUUCAUUUGAGAGCUUGUUAACCAGAGGAGCAGCCAGCUGAAGAGCCCCUGUUGCAAGGCACGGAGGAUUCACACCUGAGAAUGGUAACUCAGGUGGUGGGACAGGCACUUCCCUGCUCUGAGAGGGGCCCAGUGCUGCACAGCUGCAGGAGCUUGGCCCUUACUUCUGUCACACAGGUGGCUCAUCCAUCACUUAGAGCUGUCUGAGGUCAGGUGUUCUGUCCCGUGUCCUUAGAGGGGCCCAAGGGGAGGACACACACACUUUUGGGAACGGUGUAAGUGACCAAGCAGAAUCCAGUCCUACGAGAGGACCUGAGGGAACAGGUAUCACCUGGGACAGUGCUGGGGCACCUUCACCAACAGCUCUGAGGCAUCCUGGGCUUAGCCAUGGACAACUUUCUUUUCCUCCUUGUGCAGUUUUUACCUCCAGAACAGAAUGCAUUCCCCAAGUUCAAAGAGCAUCCACCAGCAUCCACCACCUUCACCCUGCAGCCCCGGAAUGACCUUCGAACAACUGGGAGCAGGUUGAAUUUACAUUUUACUUCAAAAAAAAAGGGGGAAGUACAUACAUGAGGGGAGAAAGGGGUGAACAAUAAUUAUCUGAAACCAGGUUUCCACCAUUCUGACCCACAGCUCCCACCAGCCUGGGACCAGAGGGCUCUCCAGGCUCACACCCUGGCUUUGACAGCACGACCAGGACUGGCAUCAUGGAAACCCUUGGGAAGCCGAGGCCGGGUGGAAGCAGUGAGAUCCCACACAGGGUGAGUGUGUCGGACACAGCUUCUGGUUUAAAUGAUGGAAUGCACCAGCAGGGGGAGGAGUAGUUAACAGUUACUAACACUAGAAUAUUCAAAUUUGUAUGUUAUACAUAUACAGCAACUAACUGCUUUACAAAAAAAGCAAAAUAAUACAAUAUAUUGUCACAUGUAUUUACAGUGUAGUAAAUAUACUUUUCUGUCAAAUUUUACACAAAACCUAUUUACAGGUGAAUAUACUGCAUAAAAAAAAAAGGUGGGACCAACACUCUGAGUGACUGUCUGUGGUUUGUUGCAUAACAAUAGGACGUGCUUUGUGACUUUGGAAAAAAUUAACCUUAGAAUGAAACAAAGAGCCCUAAAACCUACAACCCGGGUCAGGUCAGAGCCAGCCCUGGCACGCACCCAGGGGCUCAGCCCUCGAGACUCAGUGAAAUGUUCCCUGUCCUGGGAAACCUCAUGCAGGGAAAGCAGAAAUGUCGGCAUCAUUACAGGUAGGUUAUGCACUAUGCAAAUACUACUGAGUUAUCUUUAAGUCAGGGAAAAUACAAACACAAACAGAAUGUUAAUUGUCUUUACAGUACUGAGCUGUGGUCAGUGUGGGCAGGGAACGGGCUCUGAGCCAGGGGGUCACACACGCUCCCCGGGAGGGCGUUACAUGGUCCACGUGUUCCAAUCGGAUUUUCUGAAUUUUAAGUUUUCACUGUCAGAGCACAGGGACUCUGGGGCUGCAGCUCCAGCCCUGCAGCAGAGCCUGGAGCAGCAGCCACUGCCAGUGGCCUGCGGGUUGCCUGGAGUGCAGUGGCACUGGGGACCCUGGGAUGGGGCUCCUGCGCGUCAGCUCAGGGCUCACUCCCACUCUGUCACCAGUACCGACCUGCUGGUCACCAGAGAACAGAGCAGCAGGUGGAGAAAGAAUGGAGCAGCCCGGGAUGGGAGCAGAGCUCCCAGGGAUGGAAUGGGAUGGAGAGUGCUCAAACAGGGAAAGAACAAAGGAAGGAGGAUGGGAGAAAGAAAAAGAGGCAAAUCCCAGCAGUGGCUGCUGGAGGGAGCGGGAGAGCAAUGUAGUGACAGUAAGGCACUCAACAACUAAUUACUGAUGGGAGUUUAAUCAUUACACAAAGGCCAUGGUUCCCUGGGAGCCAAGCACAAGCUUCCCAAGCACCAGUACUAGGAGACAACAUUCCUGUCUAUCAGGGCACACACGAUCCCAAAUUCAACCUUGGCCAUCAGCAGUCCUUACACCUCAAUUCACCCGUUACCUGACGCAGGUGUCUGAUACCUCUGCUCUGCCAGAGUCCAGACCCUCUCACUGAACCUCUCACACAGGGAAAACUCCAACCAACUCCUUCCAGGAAAGAGGAAAUUCAGUUUUGUUCACUGACUUUAUGAAGAGACCAUUU